rnacentral:rRNA from 1 species
ACUUGYCAAGUUCGAGCGCCCCGCAAGGGGGAGCGGCAGACGGGUGAGUAACGCGUGGGAAUCUACCGAGCCCUAAGGAAUAGCUCCGGGAAACUGGAAUUAAUACCUUAUACGCCCUUUUGGGGAAAGAUUUAUCGGGGUUUGAUGAGCCCGCGUUGGAUUAGCUAGUUGGUGGGGUAAAGGCCUACCAAGGCGACGAUCCAUAGCUGGUCUGAGAGGAUGAUCAGCCACAUUGGGACUGAGACACGGCCCAAACUCCUACGGGAGGCAGCAGUGGGGAAUAUUGGACAAUGGGCGCAAGCCUGAUCCAGCCAUGCCGCGUGAGUGAUGAAGGCCCUAGGGUUGUAAAGCUCUUUCACCGGUGAAGAUAAUGACGGUAACCGGAGAAGAAGCCCCGGCUAACUUCGUGCCAGCAGCCGCGGUAAUACGAUGGGGGCUAGCGUUGUUCGGAAUUACUGGGCGUAAAGCGCACGUAGGCGGACAUUUAAGUCAGGGGUGAAAUCCCGGAGCUCAACUCCGGAACUGCCUUUGAUGCUGGGUGUCUUGAGUAUGGAAGAGGUAAGUGGAAUUCCGAGUGUAGAGGUGAAAUUCGUASAUAUUCGGAGGAACACCAGUGGCGAAGGCGGCUUACUGGUCCAUUACUGACGCUGAGGUGCGAAAGYGUGGGGAGCAAAACAGGAUUAGAUACCCUGGUAGUCCACGCCGUAAACGAUGAAUGUUAGCCGUCSGCAUGCAUGCAUGUCGGUGGCGCAGCUAACGCAUUAAAACAUUCCCGYCUUGGGGAGUACGGUCGCAAGAUUAAAAACUCAAAGGAAAUUGACSGGGGGCCCCGCACAAGCCGGUGGGAGYAU